GGCACUAUAGGGUCUUGCAUGGGAACGAGGAGACCAACCAGGUUGAACCCGGCUCAGCUGAGAAGGUUGACUUGGCUGAGCUGUUGGUUGAUAUGGUAAUUGAGGAUUCUCAGCCGUUUUCCUUGGUGGACGGCAGUGGAUUCAAAAAGCUUAUGAAAGCUUUAGCUCCUUCCUACGUUCUACCUACACGGCAGACUUUGAAAGCCAUGGUGGAAAAAAGGUACAAGGAAACCAAAGAUAAAACAAAAGCCAUUGUGGCUAAAGCAUCUGCAUGUAGUUUGACAUCAGAUAUGUGGACGUCCAUCAAUACUGAUGCCUAUCUAGCUGUGACAUGUCAUUUCAUUGAUGAAACCACAUCCCUCCAAUCAGUUGUACUGGGGGUGCAACAU